AAGUUUUUCAUUGUAACUUGCUUGCAAAUUGUAUUUGCAACAUUUUAAUCUUUUUAAGAUUAAGGGCCUAUAGCUCAGUUGGUUAGAGCACACGCCUGAUAAGCGUGAGGUCGGUGGUUCAAGUCCAUUUAGGCCCACCAUAACCACAAAUAGGCAAAAUCUUAAAAAAGCUCUUUGAAAAGUAGAUAAACGAAGGUAAAAAAAUCA
rnacentral:misc_RNA from 1 species